rnacentral:rRNA from 1 species
AUGACGUCAAGUCAUCAUGGCCCUUACGAGUAGGGCUACACACGUGCUACAAUGGCAUAUACAAAGAGAAGCGACCUCGCGAGAGCAAGCGGACCUCAUAAAGUAUGUCGUAGUCCGGAUUGGAGUCUGCAACUCGACUCCAUGAAGUCGGAAUCGCUAGUAAUCGUGGAUCAGAAUGCCACGGUGAAUACGUUCCCGGUCCUUGUACACACCGCCCGUCACACCAUGGGAGUGGGUUGCAAAAGAAGUAGGUAGCCUAACCUCCGGGAGGGCGCUUACCACUGUGUGAUUCAUGACUGGGGUGAAGUCGUAACAA